AUAAAAAAGGGAUUAAAUUGGGAAUUAGGGUUCUUGUGACCCUUCAGACUCUCCUCUCUCGUUCUCGUUCACCCCUAACCUCUCCGGCGGCCAUCUCCGCCUCCGACCGCCUUAAUCACCACAAUCAAAACACCAAUCCUAUCUAAAAUUAUACUCCGAUUGCGAAUCAGCAGCUAGAUUUAGCAACAAACUCCUGAAUCAACGAGAUCGACGUUCAACUAAGAACCCUAGAUUUUGGGAUUUCCAGAUCCGAGCACGAUUCACACAAAAUUGAAGCAAGCGGAAUUCUGAUUAGAUCAUAGAUACACAGAUAAGGGUCGAAAGUGAUAGGGAACGAACCUGUUAAGGCGAUCUGAACCUCCGGUGCGGUGGCGGAGAUUCCCGACCACCGCGAAGCUCGGAAUUAUUGAUGAAGAAUAUUGGAUUGUUAUGCUUGAAGAAAGACUGUGGCAGUGAUGACGAUGAUUGUUUGAAGCGAGGUUGUUGAAUUCAUUGAAGUUCUUUGCUGCAGAAUUAAGGUCGAAGGAGGUUUGAAGAUGAUGAAAUUGAAGCGUGAAGAUGAAGGAGAUGUGAAUCGGUUAUGGUGGAUUGAAGGUAGAUUGAAGAGUUCUUGGACAAUCGAAGUUUGAAGAUUAAUUUUCUGAGUUUUCUGGAAGGAAUGAAUCGAGAGAGAGCAAGAGUUGGGGAUUGGUGAUGAAGAUGGAGAUUGAGGAUGAAGAGAAAGGGAGCAGAGAAGAUGAAGAUGGGGGAGAUUGAAGAGGGAUCAGAAAGUGAAAAAAGGUGGAAGAUUGGAGAGUGGAAGGAGCAAAAAUGGUGGAGACCUUGAAGAUUGGAGGGAAUUGAAUUAUAUAACUGAGGGUUUGAAUUCAGUUAGAGCUUGAAGUUAGUUACAAAAGGGAGAAGCUUGAGCCAAUGGAUCAAAAAGGUCCAGAAUCAAUGUAGUUAAAGGUUUUGGAAGGUUCAAAGGAUGACUGCACAGGGGUCCAGUAGCAUGAACAUAGUUCAACGGAGAUUCAAGAUUUGGAGAUUGAAAAGUAGAAGGAUUAGUAGUGUUGCGUUUAGGAAUAUGUUAGAAAUGCAAUUUCUAUGUGUGUGAUGGGGUUGGAUUGGAAUUUGUAUGGGUUGAAUGAACUUGAAAAUGUGAAUGAUUUUAUGGAUAUGUGAUGUUGCUAUUGAAUUUGUAAUGAAAUUUGCGAGGCCUUUUGGUUUAUGGAUUUGUUUUGUAAUUGUAAAUGGAAUGGUCUUGAAUGGGAUUGAAAAUGUGAAAUAUGUAAUAGUUUUGAAUGGAACUUGAAUGAAUAAUUGUAAUGAGCAUUUGUGAUUUUUUUUAAUGGAUUUGGAUACUUUUGAAGACCUUUUGUAAUGGAAAUUUCUUUCUUGUGGGCAAAUAUGCAUAACACUCGAGUAAGGUCAUAAAAAUCUUGAUCAAUCCCCUUUUGGAAUAUAUCUUGACCAUUCUUUGAUUUUCACAAGAGAAUGCUUCCAAACUAAAGGACAAAUUAUAUUUGCAUCUUGAAGAAACCUUAAUUUCAAAUUGAACCUUUAGACACCUAAUAUCUUGUUGAUCCACACUUCAAUCAAAAGAAAACCUCUUGGUUUAAAUAGCCC